UACGAAGGGUGCAAGCGUUACUCGGAAUUACUGGGCGUAAAGCGUGCGUAGGUGGUGGUUUAAGUCAGAUGUGAAAGCCCUGGGCUCAACCUGGGAACUGCAUUUGAUACUGGAUCACUAGAGUGCGGUAGAGGAUAGUGGAAUUCCCGGUGUAGCAGUGAAAUGCGUAGAGAUCGGGAGGAACACCAGUGGCGAAGGCGACUAUCUGGACCAGCACUGACACUGAGGCACGAAAGCGUGGGGAGCAAACAGG
rnacentral:rRNA from 2 species